CAUUGAGCCCACAAUCUUUAAAUAUUGACUGCAUAUUUGGGGGAGAGAGUUUUUCACUGAACUUUACACUGCCAGCCAACACGACUUCCUCCCCGGUUGUUACAGAUGGGAAAGGAGCAGUACGUAUAUCACUUAAAUGAUGGAGCCUCAGUUUGGUCAUUUAUAAAAUGGACAUAAUAAUGCUCUACUGUCUGGUGCAUUCGUUUUGAGGAUUAGAUAGCAUUUGAUAUAUGAACUGUCACCAAGCACAGAAUCUGGCUCAACUAUUAUUCUUAGGACCAACUCAGCUCAAAAGUGAGGGAUAAUGUGCAAAAUCACAGAUGGAUUUCACAAAUUGCUGAGCAAAAGAGGCUAGAAUCAGAAGAGUACAUACUUUCCAUUUGCAUCUAGAUGACAUUGAAAAACAGGACUGUGGGCCCUCUCUCGGAUUAGCAGCAGGCAUCCCAUCCCUGGUGGCCACAGCCCUGCUGGUGGCUUUGCUAUUUACUCUGAUUCACCGAAGAAGAAGCAGCAAUGAGUCUGCCGAGGAAAGUGAGAGGCCAUGUGAAAUUUCAGAAAUCUAUGACAGUCCCAGGAUAGCUGAGAAUCCUAGGAGGGCACCCACACACGGGAAGAAUAUGAUGGGAUCUGAAGAAUCUCACAUAUAUGUGAAGACUGUAGCAGGAAGCGAGGAGCCCAUGCAUGACACUUACCGUCCUACUGAAGAAAUGGAGAGAAGAAGGGGAUUGUGGUGGCUUAUGCCCAGACUGAGCUUGGAAUGAUGUGGCUCAGCCAAAGAGCAGAUCUGGUGCUGGAACAGAGCUGAAAACCCAGGGAUUUAUGCUUGAGUGAGGAGAGAUGCCAAACUGCUUCUUAACCAAUCUCAAUUUCAUUGACAGAUCUGGAAAACUUUUGGGUUGAUUUGUCUCUUUAGGGAACAGAUCUGCAAAGGUUCAUUCCAACUCUCAGAUCUUGUGGUUUAAUAAGCAGUAAAGCACAAAGUGUGGUCACUGUGCAUCCAGAAGGAGCCUUUGGAUCCUGUUCCUGACCCCAGUGGGAAUUCGCUUUUCUUUGUGAUUUUGGGAAAGGGACUUGAUUUCUGAGUGUCUUGCCUUCUCAUCUUUUUUCACAUCCUUUUCCUCAAAAAAGUCAUCAGACCUGGAUUCCAUGGGAGAGUUGACCAAGGCCAACAUGGGGUACAAAUUGGGACAUAAAUGAAGCUUACAGGGAAUGUGCAAGGGGAAGCAGUUCCUUGUUUCUGAACAUCUCAGGGUAGAAAUCAUGUGGAACCACACAGUCCCUGACCACAGGUGCAGCAUGUGACUGGAUCAUUCAUUGCUCCACCUGGGUCUGUGAUCAGAGAGUAUUCAAGGAAGGCAAUUCUGCAAUGAACUGUGUGUGUGUUGAGGGUCAGUAGGGUAGAAGGAAGGCAGAGGUUUCGAAAGAUUAUUAGAAAUGAUGGCUAUAUCCAUUUUGUGGGAUUAGAGAGAAAGGUCCAAGUCCUUGGACUAUCAUGGGGAAAAACUCACCGGCAGGAAGAGAGAUCAAGAGGACUCUGAGUGGAUGAACACAGGACCAAAGGGGUGGGACAGGUAGUAAUGUGCCUGCCACCUGAGGGAAGCCCGUGGACAGCGUCAGCCAGCUGGAGGCAGGCCUUCACCAUUGCUUCUGUGAGGAAUCCUCCAGGAAUCCUGGUUCCUCCACAUAGGGCCAUUGCUCAUGAGUAGGCUGGGUUUCCUGGUGGGAGAACCUGGGUUCAGGACCUCUUGGGGUUCAUCCACCAGCUCCAUGCACCACCAUGAUAAGCUGUAGAAACAUUCCUUUCUCACACAGGACCUCUGAUUGCUCAGAAACACACCCCCUCUUCUUCAAAUAACCAAGAAUAGGUUCUACAAACUCAAUCACUGCCAUGUGCCAACACCUGAUUUUCAAAACCCCUUGUGAAAUUCAAUUUUGCGCUAAGUCCCCUAGGUCCAGUCACCUUGACAAGCAAAUGUGGCCAUUUUUAAGCAGAUGUGCCCAGUGAUCCAGGUGCUUGUACUUCUCUUACAUGUUGGGAAGGACCUUGAAUUUGCUGAGAACUUGACUGUGGCCUUGGUCUUGACACUUAUAAGUUCAAGCCCUGGGGCAAAUUGUUGACCCGCAGAAGCUUCGAUUCUUCCCUUACGAAAUGGAGAUAGCAGUUCUCAUCCUUCCACCCCCAGGGUGGUUGUGAGGAUUGAAACACGCAUGUGAAUAAAGCUUGUAGUCUAUAAGGUAAUGUGUGACUUGUAUUUUGGAUCAUUUAUUUUUAUUCCACUUAUAAUUCAUUGCUCAGAGUCUUUAUUUCAAAUUGUUUCUACUAAAAUAGCAAGAUUCAGUAUUCCUGUCAUUUUUUUUCCUGCUAUGAUGUGCAAGAACUUAUUUUGGAAUAAAGUGAAAAGUAAAAUGGUCAUUUUUAUAGACAUACAACACAUCUGUGGUUUCUCUUGGCCUAUAUUAAAGUCUAUGACAUUGGCCCUGGGGUUGGAAUCAAGGUUAUCCCGGGGAUUUUUCUGGUGCUGGCUCUCUCUGGGGCUGAUGAGGGAGGUGUUCAUUUCUUCAUUUAGGGCAGCCUGUGUUGUGGGAAACUACAGGGACCAGAAGUCAGAAGCUGUAGCUCUCUGACCCAGGGCUGGUACGAGCUUAGGGAUGACUCUGGGCCAGUCGCAUUUUAUCUCCUUUCUUCAUGUACCACUUGGUGUUUGGGUUGGCUUGUCUCUAAGGUUAACUCCACCCAGUUCAAACAUUCUAACUUUGAUUUUCCAAAUUCUGCAAAGUAGGGCCUCCCCUUCCGCCUCCCUGCUCACCGCUCCCGUCAGCACAGCCUUCUGGACCUUGCAAAGUCCUUCUCAGCUCUUGGCUUUGGAGGUGGAGAGAGAGACUUAUUUCUCCUGUAUCCUGCCAAUAGACAACAGUUUCACAUAGCUUUCCUUGUGGCAUUUAUCACUGCAAAAGCGUAAUGCCAAUUAAAGACAAAAAACAUGAAGAAUGACUAAUGUUUGAAGCAUUGUCUAUUUAUACGAUCUUGCACUCCCACCAUCCUGGUGGAAAUUAUUGAUUAAUGCAUGAGUUAAUUUAACAAAUGGGCAUUGGCUUCCCUCAUGUGUCAGACCAUCUGCCGGGUCCUAUGAUAAGAUUGGAG
rnacentral:lncRNA from 1 species